GCGCAAACAUCAUUCAGUACCUGGUAGUCCAAGUGGUGUUAUUGAUGCAUAUUUUAGUAGCGAGAGCUCGAAUGAAUCAUGGUCAGUAGCAUCUUCGAUUUCAUCCUCACCUGAGCCUCAGUAUAAGAGAAACAAAACUCAAGAUCAGCGAAUGACACUAGCUCCACUGGGUAGUAAUCUUCACUGAUCGAUAUCUUGUUCUCUAGAUUACCUAGUAUUUCGGCAAUGGUUUACUCUCUUUUUUGGUAUGUUCUCUUAAAAAUGCAAUUGCACAAUGCUCUGAUGCUCCAUUUAAGUUUUACUGGACUUAAUUUGUCCGAUGAUCGUCUAGACUAUGUGAACAUCAACUCCACCCCCCUCCUUCAUUGGACAUGGGAUU
rnacentral:misc_RNA from 1 species